UAAUACGUAGGGUGCAAGCGUUAAUCGGAAUUACUGGGCGUAAAGCGUGCGCAGGCGGUUUUGUAAGUCAGAUGUGAAAUCCCCGGGCUUAACCUGGGAACUGCGUUUGAAACUACAAGGCUAGAGUGUAGCAGAGGGGGGUGGAAUUCCACGUGUAGCAGUGAAAUGCGUAGAGAUGUGGAGGAACACCGAUGGCGAAGGCAGCCCCCUGGGCUAACACUGACGCUCAGGCACGAAAGCGUGGGGAGCAAACAGGAUUACGGAUACCCCUGGUAGUACCACGCCCUAAACGAUGGUCAACGUAGUUUGUCCGGGUCUUAACGGACUUGGUAACGCAGCUAACGCG
rnacentral:rRNA from 1 species